GGCUUUUGUUAAAAAUAGGUAAUAAAUAAAAUCUGACUUGGAACAAGAACUCAGUUCCUUUCCUUUCAACAUGAGACUGGGCACACAGGAGAAGGAAUAAGGAUUGGUAAUUGUUUGGGUACUGUGACGGGGCUCCACUCACCACGCUGGUGCCUCCUGCUGGCUAUCUUGGAGAAUUAGUUCCACAGAUUACUUGAAAAAUUUAGUCAGAUUGUCACUAUCCU
rnacentral:lncRNA from 1 species